GACUCGGGAAGAAGGUGCCGGAGGCUUGCCGGGCGGCCUUGCGGUUUGAAGCAGUGAGUCACCUUCUGGCUGCAAGUCAAGGAACUCUCACUGCGCCCUUGUUUGGACAAGACGAGGAGGCGCACUCAGAGUCAGAGACCCCGGGGCAGAGACAGGGGCAAGAAGAAGGGGCCACCGAGACCCCAAGAGAGUCAGGGAGACAGACGCACCAAACGACCGACACAACCAGGGACAGCAGGGAGGAAAAGUUGCCUAUCUGUUGGGUCAGAUUUCUGAAGACUGAUGAGGCCCAUUUUCUGGUUCAAGCAAUUCUCCUGCCUCAGCCUCGCGAGUAGCUGGGAUUACAGAUAUCCUUCGAGUUGGAUUUCGACUGGGUUCUGCCAGUGGGAUGUAUCCAUGCGAGAUUCUGGAACUAACAUCAGAGAGAGUCCAAGCUUCUAACUUUUAUCAGCGGCAGUGACAAUAGUCAAGCAGCAUUGAUGACAAACGGCAAGAGUUUAGAAAGUACCAGUGACGUGCCUGAUAGAAUCUCACCACAAGAUGGAAGCCAACUCGUCAGAAGCCUGGAAAGCCCACCCAGCGUGGGACCUCUGUGGGUCCAGGAUCUUGGAAUGGUAUCCCAUGGUUCAAUCUUCUGGAUUCAACCACAUAAAUUUACCCCACCCAUGUCGUGGACCCAAGCUUCCUACCAUGUAUACUUAGCUUAAAUGCAAGAUAGUACUAUUUUGUUCAUCUUGAUUGGAGUGAGAAAUGAAUAGGUCCAUGCACAUAUAUUUCUUUUACCACAACAAGAUGAUGAAGAAAUAAAUCCAUAAUAUCGAUACUUUUGUAUAAGUUGUGUUUACAGUUGCGGUAAGAAAUUUUAUAAUUGUUGAUUUGCUUUAUAUAAUUUCUGCUUGCUUUUUAUGAUAUUUAAAACAAAAUCUAAGCAACAAAUUUUAUGUCUGAUUAGAUUUACAGAAGCUGCUUAAGUGCUUAGGGAUAAUUUGUUCAUCAUAUUUGUAAGUCUCCCUUGUUAGGUGUUUGAAGUGUUUGAAUUGGCUAAAUUAAAUUUGUAAUUGUAGUUUGAAAUAUCUAAAGGAAUUUUCUUAAUUAAGUGUUUAAAUGAUGUUAAAAGUUUGUGGGAAUUUAAUCUAUCAAAUUUAUGAGUUAAUUGAAUAUGAAUCAAUGAACAAGUAAAUGUGAUCUUGCUUUUAUAUAAAAACUACUAAGUUCAUAAAUAAAAUACAAAGAUCCAUAAGUUGAGAGGAAAAGCAAAA
rnacentral:lncRNA from 1 species